AAACCAUGAUGAGGGCAAUGUCUUUGUAGACUCUUAAAUCUGUCCCAUGCUUCAAAUAAUGGUUCUCCAUCUGUCUGAAUAAAAUUUGUAAUGCAAUUCCUCAUAU